AGUUCGUAAUUAAACUCAGAUAAUCUGGAAAAAAAGGUACGCAUAUUAUGCAAAUAUCAGGAUAGAAGAGGCGCGCGAAUACAAAAACGGGCGCAACAACUAGUGGUAUGUUAUAUCCCAUUGUCAUCGUUGAAGUUAUGAUGGAAUCAAUAUACCAGGUUGGAGUCAACAACCACCAUGGCUAGUACUGGCAGUUCAAGACUAGUAUCAAAACAUGUACUCCCUCCGUUCCGAAUUAGUUGUCGCAGGUAUGGAUGUAUCUAGAUGUAUUUUAGUUCUAGAUACAUCCAUUUCUUCGACGAGUAAUUUUGAACGGAGGGAGUAGUAUUAAGAUAUGUUCCGCGGCAGUGAAGGGGUGCUAAUCAUAAAACACGGGCAAAACAACCAUGCCAUUGUUAAAAUUUAGAUUGUAUACUUGAGUCAUGGACCAUCGAACAAAAACAGGCAACAGAUUCAGACUUCUCUGUAUCCGUGGGUGCAGCAGGCCAUGCAAUAGAUUCCAAACAGGAGAAUCAAGCAAGAGGAUAAAAUGUGGCUCCCGGAAACCACAAAUUUCUCUAUAAUAAAGUUGAUAAGCUCUCCUGGAAAGAAAUGUACCUAUGUUGUUUCUCCCUGAUACUUGACUCGUCAAGCAAGUGGUCGAAAUCAGCAAAAGAGCCAUCAAGCACACAAACCUUAAGUUGAUUAGAGCCAUAACGAAGUUUUUUACUAUUUCCUUGAUUCCUUCUACUAUUGUAUAUUUGGUCGUGCUUGUGGUGUUUAGUUGGAUCCUUCCGCUGCUGUUUAUAUAGAUAUAGAGGCGCCUUGGAGUACCAUAUUUUGCCGUUUUAUUAUUAUUAUUAUUAUUAUUAUUAUUAUUAUUAUUAUUAUUACUUCCUGCAUUAGUGUUUCCUUUGUAUGGUUCGCGGUA
rnacentral:lncRNA from 1 species